rnacentral:rRNA from 1 species
UGUGUGUUAGUGGAAGCGUCUGGAAAGGCGCGCGAUACAGGGUGACAGCCCCGUACACAAAAAUGCACAUACUGUGAGCUCGAUGAGUAGGGCGGGACACGUGGUAUCCUGUCUGAAUAUGGGGGGACCAUCCUCCAAGGCUAAAUACUCCUGACUGACCGAUAGUGAACCAGUACCGUGAGGGAAAGGCGAAAAGAACCCCGGCGAGGGGAGUGAAAAAGAACCUGAAACCGUGUACGUACAAGCAGUGGGAGCCUCUUUAUGGGGUGACUGCGUACCUUUUGUAUAAUGGGUCAGCGACUUAUAUUCUGUAGCAAGGUUAACCGAAUAGGGGAGCCGAAGGGAAACCGAGUCUUAACUGGGCGUUAAGUUGCAGGGUAUAGACCCGAAACCCGGUGAUCUAGCCAUGGGCAGGUUGAAGGUUGGGUAACACUAACUGGAGGACCGAACCGACUAAUGUUGAAAAAUUAGCGGAUGACUUGUGGCUGGGGGUGAAAGGCCAAUCAAACCGGGAGAUAGCUGGUUCUCCCCGAAAGCUAUUUAGGUAGCGCCUCGUGAAUUCAUCUCCGGGGGUAGAGCACUGUUUCGGCAAGGGGGUCAUCCCGACUUACCAACCCGAUGCAAACUGCGAAUACCGGAGAAUGUUAUCACGGGAGACACACGGCGGGUGCUAACGUCCGUCGUGAAGAGGGAAACAACCCAGACCGCCAGCUAAGGUCCCAAAGUCAUGGUUAAGUGGGAAACGAUGUGGGAAGGCCCAGACAGCCAGGAUGUUGGCUUAGAAGCAGCCAUCAUUUAAAGAAAGCGUAAUAGCUCACUGGUCGAGUCGGCCUGCGCGGAAGAUGUAACGGGGCUAAACCAUGCACCGAAGCUGCGGCAGCGACACUAAGUGUUGUUGGGUAGGGGAGCGUUCUGUAAGCCUGUGAAGGUGUGUUGUGAGGCAUGCUGGAGGUAUCAGAAGUGCGAAUGCUGACAUAAGUAACGAUAAAGCGGGUGAAAAGCCCGCUCGCCGGAAGACCAAGGGUUCCUGUCCAACGUUAAUCGGGGCAGGGUGAGUCGACCCCUAAGGCGAGGCCGAAAGGCGUAGUCGAUGGGAAACAGGUUAAUAUUCCUGUACUUGGUGUUACUGCGAAGGGGGGACGGAGAAGGCUAUGUUGGCCGGGCGACGGUUGUCCCGGUUUAAGCGUGUAGGCUGGUUUUCCAGGCAAAUCCGGAAAAUCAA